rnacentral:rRNA from 1 species
GACGAACGCUGGCGGCGGGCUUAACACAUGCAAGUCGAACGAGAAACUUAGAGCUUGCUCUAGGUGGACAGUGGCGCACGGGUGCGUAACGCGUAGGCAACCUGCCUUCAAGAGGGGAAUAACUACCGGAAACGGUGGCUAAUUCCGCAUAUUGUCUGUUUAUCGCAUGAUUUACAGAUGAAAGCCUUCGGGUGCUUGGAGAUGGGCCUGCGUCGGAUUAGGUAGUUGGUAGGGUAAUGGCUUACCAAGCCUACGAUCCGUAGCUGGUCUGAGAGGAUGAUCAGCCACACUGGCACUGAGACACGGGCCAG